ensembl:miRNA
UUCUGCUCCUAUUUAAGUCAAUGGCAGAACUCUCACUGAUUUCAAUAAGAGCAGAAUU